rnacentral:lncRNA from 1 species
CCUGGGGCUGCCUACCUGCCCAGGAUAUCAGGCGUGAAGGCAGCAGACCCAUUUCAGAUCCUGUUUACCAGUCAGUGGGAAGGAAGCCCCAACCUACUUCCAGGAUUUCCUUGGCUCAGAGACUGAGGACUAAGCUCACUCCUGGGGAAGUUAUUAUUGCAGAUUGCUAUGUGGAGAGAAAGUUGGCAAAGAUGAUAGCAACAGGGACAAACAAAGUUUUACCAGUGUGAAACCAAACAACAAGCAUCCCUUACGCCAUACUUUGGUAAAUACUGUUCAUGGUCUUAGAAAUGCCAAGCAAGCAGACAGCAGGAAACUAGUGAUCUAGAAUCAGCAAGAAACCUCUAAGCUGUUAUACUCAAGAUAUUAUCUUAGAUGCUGGGGAUAAGCAGCUAAGCUAAGCUGAAUUU